UGUCAGCACAUGUUCUUUGUCCUUGAGACUUAAGCUGCUUAUAUUAAGCAUAUGUCUGUCUGCUUGCUUUGCCACGCUGCUGUGAGCUCAUUACAGGCGGGACACAGAUUUCAGUUUUAUUGUUCAUGCUUACCUGGAAAUAAACUCCCACCACCUUCCCCACUUCUGAUAACCUCUCUCAGCAUCUGAAACACACCUAGAUGAAGGUAUGUGCCAGCAGUAAAAAUGUCUCUGGCUGUUCCCACCGUUGCUGGUACCACUACUGCUACAUUUUCUUCGAAGAAAGGUGUGUGUGGAUACUGUCAGGAUUAGCCACCAUAUCUGUAAGAUCACUGUUUUCUGAAUCAGAGAGUAACCAAAAAUCCAAAGUAGUCAACAUUCUAUUAGAACAAUAAAACCACUUAGGUAAACCGAACUACUUGAACCCUCUAAAAGAACUAUAUAUGAGAAGGUCUGAGAAAAGAGUUUCAUGCAGAGGCCAAAAAUCUGAUGAAGUCACAUGGUAGAAAAUAUUCAGCAAACUGAAAGCCACAUCUCUGUUCAUUCUUGGUUGGUAAAGGCAAGCUAUGACUGAUUACAUCUCCUCCUGAUUCUGCUGACAGUCCAUUUCUGGAGGGAAGCCUUCCGCCCACUUGGCAUCAUGCUGUCCUCCAUCUCUGUAAUUAACUCGCCUGAAUGCAGCAGACCUCCCUAACUACCACUUGGCAUAGCAUCCCAUAGUGCUGAGCAGCUUACCAAGAAGCUAGGGGAAUAAACAACCUCUAAUAUAUUUGCCCAUGCUGUAGACUCUUUUCCUACUGAUUGCAGCCAAAAAAAUGGAGGAGAAACACAGUUGGGCUCAUGGACAGUAUCAUGUACCCCUUGGGGUUUUAACCAUCUUAGUUAUUUAUAUGGUCUCCAGUAUUGUAGUAUACAAGAGAAUCACAACCAUUGACUUCCAUAUCUGCAUAGUACCAGAGUAAGAUCAAGGAAUUUUUAUAAUUGUAGUUUCACACUGUCAGGGUUAUGCUUGUAUCUGUUCAAGGGGGACUAUGUCCUGUAAAUGUGAUGUCUUUGCAAGCUUUUGUUGCUGUUGUCAAGAGAGAUCAUAAAACUGACUGGCAGGCAGAGCUCAGCCUCUUUCAGCUAUUGCUUACUACAGCCUUUCCAUCUUCUAUUUAUGUCUCUCUUCUUGCUCCUGCCCUAACCAGCUUUCCAUUCCUUGCUCUUAGGAACCAUUAUAUGGAACACUACAUACAGUGUUCAGCUUAGUUUUAUUUUACUCUGGUUUUAUGUAGAAUUUGGGUAAAUACGUUUAUAUUGCCUGCCUGAGCAUAUAAGGCUUUAUGUCUAUGACCUCUGUGCUAAAAUAUUUUUUACUCAUGGAUCUGUAUCUCAUUUGAGUCCUUAUAGAUGCUGCAACUACAGGAAAGGCUUCAUUUGUCUGAGCCACAAAAGUCAAGCAACCAGUAGACACAAACCUAUAGAAAACUAAACUGCAGUAGUUUUAAAGCAUGGAAUUGUUAAUUUAAAUGUAUCUGUUAGGUGAAGUGGUUGCAGAUGAGGUUCUUAAAUAUGAACAGUCCGUGACAGCCCCAGCCUCUCUAUAAUAUUCAUGAUUUAUAAUAUCAUUGUUACAAUUUUAGCAAUGGCUCGCUGAGAGCAGCAUAGGAAUAAGAACCAGUUAAAGUUAAAUAAGUAAGAUUCAGGUCAUAGAGCUUUUAGACUAAGGGGGAGUAGUACGCCAGCUUGGUUUUCAGGUGGCAAGAACCAGUUAUGAAUUUGUUCCCAAAGUUCUGUAAGUAGGUAAAAAACACCCAUUCAAUUCUCCAACAAACCUGGCUCAUAAUCAGGUAGCGAAAAUGACAAGGAAAGGAAAAGAAGUCUUGCAGGCUGAAUGUUUGGUUCAUUAGUGGUCUUUUUUAAUAUUCUAAUACGAUUAACUGGAAUGUAGUCAAAAUGGAUGGUUAGAUUGAAGUGCCAAGAUCUUGCUGUGCAAUAGUCAUCCUUUCAGUAGCUAAAAUAAACCUUCUUUCUUAUGACUCAGAGGCAAACAGUGUGUUGGGUAACAACUUGGGGAGACAUCUGGCAGGUUGGAAGUGAGGAAGGCUACCACGAGCUUUCUUUCGCUUUAGAUUUUUUAAAGCAUAGAGGUCACCCCUUGAGUGCAGCACAUUGUCACUGUCUUCGAGGAUUGUGUGGUCUCACGGGCUAGACAGCUUGGAAGCACACCAAAAGUAAACUGGCUAGCUCCUGCCACCUGGGACCUUGGUGCAGAAGACAGGUUAUAAAACACUGAGUUACAAACCUCGCUGCAGAGGAGUGAGAAUUGGAAGCUAAUUGCAUUUACAUGCAGGUAAUAUGUUUUCUGAGAUGAGAGGAUAGGAAAUUCAGACUGUCUGACAAACACCCCCAGAGCAUGUGCACACACAUCUCUUCCCUGAUCGCUUAAUUAUAAUCCUCACCCCACGCUCUCAGAAAUAAAUUGAUGUUCCAAUUUUAUCAGGAUUGAGAUAUGUUUGGUCUGAUCAAUUCAAAAUAAUCUCUUGAUGUCCUAAUGAACAAAAUCUUAUAUAUGCCCUAAAUAUUGUAAAAUAUCCUCUCCUCUUUAGAUCAAACAACGUGCAGAAUGAGAUACUGUCUGAGCCACACAACACCGUGCAGUAGCUCUGCUCAUAAGCAAUGGUGUAAUACUUAUUCAUGUUUUUGCAGGAGCUUCCGUAAAAUACUUACCAAUGGUAAUCACUGUACGUACACGUUGCAUUUUAUCUCCAAAUUCGAGUGUUAGUAGGAAAAAUUGAUUAUGUGCCAGCACUUAUUAAGAAUCAAACCAACUCUAAUGUCUAUUGCAGUUCAUUUACCCUUCAUUUGCACUAGGAAGCUCAAGCUUUGAAAUGCCCUUUUGAUGAUAUAUAUCAGAGUUUAUUGAAAAGAAAAUACACUUGGAAAAAAACCCUGACCAUUUCACUUCCAUUGCUUCAUUUUGUGUCCAUCAUUCAUUUCUUAGACUUUUGGAUGUUUCUUUUGAUUUUCAGUCCAAAUGUGUACUAUUUGUUAUUAUUAAUUAUGUAUUUGUAUUGCUGUAUUGUGUGCAGGGUCUAAUCAAAUCCAGGGUCUGCUGUGAUGGAUGGUUUGCCAAACUCAGAUUACAAUACACGGUCUAGAGAAUUUACCAAUUAACUGGAAGGUGUGAUCAUGCAAGGUACCUCCUGCAAACCAGUGAGAAAAUCAGAUGUGUGUAAUUUUCGGUGAGAGUUGGGGUCAUAUCACAUGUUGCAGAAGGUGCCUACUACAGAAAUAAUGUCAGCUGCAUUAAUUGGAGAAUGUGAUUCUGUUUUGCUGGAACAACACUUUUUUAUUCAUGACCUUUUGAAGUCCGACUUUCUGAUGUUAUGGAUCAAAUCCUUAAAGUCGAAUUUACCCUGUUAAUUUUUUUUUUUUUUUGAGUGUGUGUGUUUCAGUUCAAUUUCAUGGAACUCAAAGCAGUAAAUCAUGGCUAAAGAAGAGCUUAGAAUACUUUAGAGUAUCAUUUCUUUAUUGGUAACUGAUCCACAAUAACUGAAUCCUCAAGGGCUGAAAAAUAGAUUUAAGACUGAUGCUUCUUAUGCUAAACAGGAUUCAUUUUUGUCAGUGAUAUUGAUGAGAUUCUGCAAAUAUAUAGACCUGGACUAUUACUAGCUCUCUAAUGUUACUUGGUUUUUGUUGUCUUUCUUAUUAUCUGAGCUUUUAUCAGUUUCUAAACCUACUUUAAAAUUUUGUAGAAGAAGGUUAUUUGCCAUAAAAACAUUGCUCAUUAUACAUCAGCUGAGAGACCCUCAAAGAAUAGACUGAAGUUGAUAUGCAAGCCACAAUAACUGGCUUUCUACAAUCAGUGAUAGCAGAGUGAGAGAUGUGCUUCCUUGUGUGAAAUGGGUGCUGUGGAAGCACAGCAAUGGAAGCAAUGCUCCUUCUGCCCUGAUUUUCCUUGUUCCGUCAAUCACCAGAUCUUCAUACAGAGAUGAAGAGAGCCUGUGUUCUGGUAAGAGAGCUGAGGAAGAAGGGAAAUGAGGGCAAAGGAUUUUGUUUGCUGCUGGCAAGAGAGAAGGAGGCUGCUCUGGGGUACCUACAAAUUGCCUACCAGCACGUGCUGGGGAAAGGGGAAGGGCACGCAGCCACCGUGUGUUUCUGGGGAGCCUGGUGAAUUAGAUGAGGUGAAAUAGUUGCAUCCAGCAGAAGCAAAGUGCAAACUAUUAUUUUGAAGGAGAUGUUAAAGAGGCCCUGCCCCAAGCAGGUAGCAGAAGAUACAUGUACAUCAGGGGCCUUUGAAGAAGCACAAGGAAAAGAAGUGACACUAGACUCCCGUGUUAAGAUGGGGGGGCCUGGAGACAGAUAGGGGUCUGUCUGUGGAACAGUCCGGCACCUCAAGAAAUGAAGACAAUGUGGGUGGUGAUCUAUGCCAGGAGAUUAUACCUUACAAAACUACUGGCCUGUGACGUCCGUGGGCUGACAGUGAUGGGCAGCCCAUGGCCAUUACAUUUAGACAAACCUACACCGGGAGGCACAAAAUUAAUUAGUUUGCCUGCAUGACCUUUAUGUAGAUAACUUUUGCACAUGCACAGGGAAAAUCUCUCACUCUGAUCACCAAGGCAUAUCCUAAAAGGAAUGUUACUUGAUUGUAAAUCAAAUUUCAUUUGGAUUAACCUUUAGUUGGGUCCUUAAAAGGGGAUUGUUAUGUGUACAUAAAGGGGUUGUUUGUUGUUACUGUUGCUACAGUGUCACUGAUGCUUUUGGUGAGGAUAUAAUCACUCACCCUGUGGCUGCAUUCCUUGGUAAAUGCUCUUUGUAAUUUGUCAGUGCAGAGAAAGAUGCCAAAAACAAACCGCUGAUGAUGAUGGCAAUUGCUUGCCUUGGCUGUGUAAACCUGCACUGCUGGUCUUUUCCUAUCACUCAGUACUUUAUAAAAUGAUCCUUUUUUCUCCUGCUGUUUCUGUGUGCAAUGUGCACAAUAUAAGAAGUUUGUGGAAUGAGUGGUUACUCAAUACACUGAUCUCCCCUCACAGCUCAGUAUGGCACUAUGCCUACUUUGCUGCACACUUCAACCUACUUUAAAUGCAGAGUUGAUAACUUCCUACAGCCCUUUCUGUGCAUGAGUGCUUCAUAAACACCAAUGAAUUAUCAAAAAACAGUUGUUAUAUUCACCCUGUAGAUUACAAUGUGAGACACAGAAUUAUUAAGAUGGAGAAUCUGCUUGUUGUGGAGCUCAGUUAAGGUACCUGGGCCCUUAUGGGCACUUCCCAGUACUGCAGCACGUGCCAUGCUCAGUGCAUGUGUCCUGUUCAGUCCAGUUGCAGCUGUGAGUCUGCCCUCUUGCAAACUUGGCACCAGGAUUUCAAGUCAAGCACUCAGAACAGGAAGAUCAAACUGCUAACCACAACUUAGAAAAAGUUUAAGUAAUGACUGAUUAUUACAUUGUUAAUCUUUGGCAGAGGCAAGUUUGGAUUCCGAGGAGAGCACUUAGCUAUGAGACAGUCCUUUCUCUGCCUGAAACGUCUUGUCUUGUGCCACCCGUGCCUUCCAAGUUCUACAGCAUGCUGAGCAAAGGUCAACAGAUGGACACUUUUUAAAAAAAUGUACAUUCCUGAUUUAUACCCAGAAUAGGUCCAUCCUAUAAAUUAUCUAUCUGGUUAGACCCUGAUAUGACCCAGUUGGAUCUGGGUGUUGUAAAGUGCAGUUACUGAUGUUAAAAACAGUUAUCCAUUGGAACCUAAAUACGUUUUGAUUACAUAGCAUCAGCCAAAUUCACAGCACUGACUGGAAUUUGUCUGUGUACUUAAUGUAUGGAUAAACUAACUAACUCAUUGGGAAGUUCAUGCUAGAAAGAUGAUAGUAGAUGAUCAGUGGGAGGUACAAGAACUGAUGUGUAUAUAAAACCUGUUCAUAGAAUCAUAGAACUAUAAGGAAAAGACCUUUAAGAUCAUCGAGUUCAACCAUUAACCCAGCACUGCCAAGUCCAUCACUAAGCCAUGUUCCUAAGCACCACAUCUACACAUCUUUUAAAUCCCUCUAGGGAUGGUGACUCCACCACUGCCCUGAGCAGCCUGUUCCGGUGCUUCAUGACCACUUCAGUGAAGAAAUUUGCACACAGAAUAAUUUAGGUUGAAAAAGAUGUCUAAGAUCAUAGAGUCGAACCCUUGACCAAUCACCACCCUGUCAACCAGACCAUCGCACUAAGUGCCACUUCUCGAACACCUCCAGGGAUGGUGACCCCCCCACCUCCCUGAGCAGCACGUUCCAAUGCUUAACAAUCCUCUCUGUGAAGAAAUUCUUCCUGAAAUAUGCUGAGCUGGAAGGGGCCCACACAGAUUAUUGGAGCCCAACUCCUGGCCCUGUACAGAACAGCCCUGAGAAUCACACCAUGUGCCUGAGCGUUGUCCAAAUGCUACUUGAACUCUGGCAGACUUGGGGCUCUGAACACUUCUCUGGUUCUUUGUAUUCAGAUUGCUGAAUGGUAAUCCUCCUGAGAUGUUGCUUGAUCAACAGUGGACAAAUCUUGUAAUGUUAUUACUGCUACUUCUUCUACUGUCUUAAGAAAGAAACUUGGAUGAUGAAGCUCUUAUCAAGCUGAGUAGUGUCUGGACAAGACUGAGUGAGUAUGGUUUCUGAAAGAGGUAGGGCUGGAAACAAGUUGAAGCAAUCAGUCAUUGUCAGUGAAAGAGCAAUGAAGAUAUUGUUAGAAAUCUUCAGAUGCUGAACGUUUUUUAAGUGCCAAGUGAAAGCAACAGGCAGAGUAGUCAGUGGUGAGACUACUUGAAAGAAGUAGUCAACACGAUGAAGAUCUAACCUCCCUAAAGAGAGCUGAACGCUGUAAUGGAUUGCUCUCAAUCAGCAAAAAUUACCUUGUGUCAAAUCUAAAUAUUCCUUACUGAAAUUUAAGUUCACUACUUUUUGUUCUGUCAACAGCAGACACAGGAAACAGAUUAUUCUCUUAGCCUUUGCAACUACGUAGUUAUUGGACAAGUCUGGAAGAGAGUCACCUUCUCCCCUACUUCUCUAUUUAGACUAAACAAUUCAAACUUCUUCAGCUUUUCUCUGGGGAUAUUUUGUGGUUCUUGGUCGUUCUUCUCACACUUCUUUGUUGUCUGUGCGAUUAAUUCACAUCUUUCUUGACGUCCAGGUCCCAAACUGGAAGCCCAAAUUGCAGCACAAGUUUUACCACUAGCAUGUGCUCUACAGAACCUCACAGAUGAUGCUUUUGGGUGUAUCUCCCAAUCUCUUUGCACCUUCAGUUAUUACUGGUCCCUUCAGGCUCUCUUCUGGCAGUAUCCUUGGCACUCACAUGGAUGAAAAGCACGAGGAAAUAACUGGUGGGAUUUCCUCAUCUCUUUCCAGGAGUUUGAAAACAUGCUUCUUGGAACAGCAGUACAGAGUAUUGUGAGGGUCUGCCCAGUUCAGGAGAGGUUGAUGCUGCUUUUUGUCUCCUCCAUGGAGGUCAUGUGUCUCAGGUCUUUUGGAGAAUGUGGCUUUCCUUCUUUCAUCCUCAGUGCUAAAUCCUUGCUUGCUGCCUGGACCCUGGCUCUUUGACUUCAAAAAAAGAUGCCUUCUUGGAAGAGCAGCUUAUUCACCCCCAGCUGCUGAUGCUUCUAAAGACUACUUCAGCUUGCCAGUUUCCUUUUCUGCAUCCUGACCUUAAAAAAGGGUUUGAGAAACAAAGUAAGUUAAUUAGCAGCUCCUGUCCUGAGGUAUUCUCAGACUAUGCAUGAAGACCCAAGUCCUGGAAAGGAAGAAGCUAUGAUGCAUUGACUGAGGAUUUUUUGCCUUUUUAGACUGAGAGCUGCAUGAGAGUCCAGUGUUGGCUGUACCACAGCUGGGACUGACCUGUUUUGCUUCCUGACAGUAGUGGUGCUGAUGGUGCCAGGGGAAUCUGCAAUUCCACACCAAACCACAAAGCAUUUCAGAGGUAAAUGAGAUGUUAUUAACAGAUUUUAGUUUAGAAGUCACAGUUAAUGAAAACCUAUGACUACUAUUGCAAGAUCUGAGAUUAUAUUAAGAGUGGUAGCAGUUUCCUGUUAGGAGAGAAAAAAGAGGAAAAGCGCAUGGAAAAUCACACAAAUAUUGACACUCAGAUUCUGAUGAGUCUUUUAACUGUGAAGGUAGGAUCUGAGGAGGUCAUGUAUGAAGUUUUAUAUGCUGUAGUGGGGUCCUAUUAUUUUCAUGGGAUAACUGCUGGAGAUGAGGGACUGUAUCCCUAAGACACCACAAAUGAGGAUAAAAAUUUGCUGUACCAGGCUGCCAUAUAUAUAGAAUGCAUAGUACACAUAUGUCCCAUGUAAAGCAUUUGAGUUAACAGGAGGAGUUACAGCAAUUACCUGAAUGAGAUGGUUGCCCUGGAAGUCCCUUUUAAAUAGAAGUAGGUUUAAGCUGUAUCAGAUGUAGUUCUGUGUUGGCUGACAAUUCAAGGGUUUUUGGAUGCAGAGUCUAGGUGCAGAUCCUAACAGAUAAAGUCAACCCUGAAUGCAGUAAACUGAAAUUGAUAGCAUAUCACAGUGGUUUAAAUUAAUAAUGUGCUGAAAGUCUGGUUUUGCUUAUGUUUCAAGCUUUUGACUGUGCCUCUAUUUUUGCCUUUGAAGUUAACAUUCAUUGCACACUGAUCUUUGUUUUCUCCCAAGCACUUUCAUCCUCUGCCUCAAGCCAUCCCAUGUACAUGGGAGGAGAUCUGUUCAAAAGAUUUUUUUCCAAAUCCCUCCUUAAAAUUAAUUUUUACAAUGAAUCUUAUGAGUAAUGAUAUGCUGCUACUGUUUACUGUGCUGCAUAUGGCAUUCACCUUGUUACUCUUCGCUUUUCCCACCAAAUGUACAUUUAUUUUUGGCUUAAGCUCUGCCCUUUCAAAAUAAAGGAGCCUAAUGUGCCAGAAGGUGUUACCUUGGUAAGACCAGUUUUGCUUCUAUACACCUUUGCAGCUGUCUGGUGAUGUCAAAGCAGAAGCUGCCUAUGAAAGUGGUAUCUCAGGAUAUAGACAGGCUUCUGAGGCUUUGCUGGGACAGUGACUCCACCAGUUCCUUUUGUGAUACUGCAGAACAAAAAUGAAUGCAUGACAGAUCCUGAUGAUUUUCCCCCUUGGUGUCCGAUUCUCUCUGUACUUCACUUUCUAAAGAGUUGUUUUAUUUGACCUAUUUAGACUAUAACGUAGCUCAUGCAGUAGUUUGCAUGUUGCUAUAUGGAUAGCAUGUAGCCUUGUGGCAUAACAUCUAUUGGCAGUCCAUACCCUGCUGAAUUAAACCUGUGCUCUGGAGAGACCAACCCAGGAUUAGGCAUUGUGAGCAAGUCUUAGAGCAGCAAGUCGUGGAGCUCAUGCAGCCGAGCUGUUAUGUCCACACAUCACUGCUUGGGGAUAUUAACCUGACUCCAAGAGUAGUACAGAAAUUUAUCAUGAUGUUGAGCAUUUCUUGCUGCAUGCCAGAGACAUGCCCUUAGAUUCCUGCAAUCAGUAUUCACUUUCAGUCUGUAAUUCUUUGUGAACAAACUUUGGAGAUAAAAUGAGUGUUGCAGGCAGAAAAAAAAAAAGAUGUGAAAGACCAACCACUGAAACAAAUGAGCUGGCUCUGGAUAGCACCCAGGAUUACAGCAUCCUCCAUAGUUGAAUGUGGAAAUUACUUCAUGAUGCCUGCCCACAACAGAACAAAAAACCAAAAGGUUAUGUGUUCUUGAGACCCAAUGAAAAAAGAAACAAUACCUGUGGUGAUUUUAAAAGUAGGCACGGUUCAUUUAUCCAAAUUGGACGAAUGGGGGUAUUGACCAGCUUGCUUUUGGAAGCCUCCAGCUGAUCACAACUGGCCACUGGGAUUAGUUUUGUGUCCUGUCCAAAAUCCAUGGAUUGUCUCCUCCCUGUGUCUGGGUUGGCAUGGUGCCACUGUCUUCAGUUGUACAGUGCCAGCUAAUACCAGCUGAGACUCCAGACUAUGAUUUGCUUAUUCAUCAGAUUCCAAGGGGAAAAUAUAAAUAGUAUUUAGCUCUCUUACUGCUCCCUACAGAAAAAAAUAAGGAGUCUCAUCUUCAUUUAAACAGAAGGAAAAAGCCACUGUUAAAUACUGUUAAAGUAUUAAAAUUUUACUGUCUCAAGGAAAAGGGCAAAAAUCUGAUAUUGUCCCACUAAAAUUGAUAGAAACACUAUCCCUGACUGGUGAACGUAGGAUGAAUCCCCAAAUUAUCAUAAGGGCCCUUUAUGGAAGUAGAAUAGUUUUCAGAGGAAUUCAGUAUUUCAUUGCUUCUAUCAGUGUUAGCAAUAUAUUGAUUAUUUUUGUGAUUGUAAAUAAAGGCAGCAGCCAGUUUGGGUCCUUACCCGCAUAGAGAAAUAUCUGUUAAAAGAAUUUGCAAAAUGCUCAGCCUUUCUCAAAACAGUUGCUUUGUUCUGGAUCAGAUGUGGCCAGAAACAGAAAGCAGCAUCCUCUACCACUGCCCCUUCCCUGCCUGGAACUCUCCAUUCAGUCUCUGGCGGGUCAGUCUGCCUGCCACCCCCCCAGCACACCCAAGAGCAGUCAGCCUGACAGCACUGCACUGUUCAGAGGCUCAGACUUUGGACUGGGGCUUUGCUGGCAUUUAGCUGAGACAGAACUGCAGGAGGAAUCCUAGCCUAGAGUCAUAUUAAGUAAUCCUUCUAUUCCAGCUCUUACUCCAGGUGACUGUUGUUUGAGCUUACAGAACAAAAAUGUUGUAUACUGUAUAAACCAGCCAAAGGCAUAGCAGGGAAUAUCCUUUGUUCCAGGUUUCAACCACGUUUUAAGUUGCUUUUCAUGCUUUUUACUUAGGUGGAUAGAAACCUUAUCCUUGAGGAGAACAAGACCAGGGCAGAGUCACUGCACACCCAAGCAGCUGUAGGUAACUGAGCCUGCCUGGUGUUGCGCAAUGAUUUAGUGCCAUCUACAGUGUGAAAUGGGUCUUGGAGACCGAGGGGUGUCAGAAGUUUAAAUUACACAAAAAGCAAAACAGCAUGCACAAAAAAUUGCCUUACAAUUUAAGAACAAAUAAAGACAUGAUUAAAAGCCAGAAGAAAUUAAAUUAAAUGCUUGCUGUAUAUUAAAACAGGAAUAGAAGGUUUAAUGUUGCUUAAUUUGUGCUUUUGAAUAUGCUUGAUUCCAACAUAGAUUGAUGUAUUCCUAUGUUAUUGGACUUUUUUUUCCUCAACUCAUUUAUUUUUGCUGUUGUUGAUCUAACUGAGCUUGAAGUAAAGGACAAAAUGUCACCUAGUGCCCUUCUUAAUAACUUUUAUGCAAUAGGAUACCACACCUGCUCUGAGUCCUUUGGUGUCAUUGGUACUACUUACCCAGACUUAAGGAGAGAAUCAGGACUCUGUAAAGUCAAUUCCAUAUUGUGGAGCCUUCCUUGUUAGUGCAGUUAUUGAAAACCUAGGAACACGUCAUCCUUUUGCAGAACUGUGCUCUUGUCCAAAGCACAUGAGCAUUUGAUUGUGCUUAACUUAUCCACCUAGGAAGUUCUUUCCAUUACAUCUUCUCUGUGCUCUAUUCAGGCAGUAAAUCAAAAGGGUGGGUUUUUUUACCCACAUGAUGAUAAACUAAACGAUUUACUUCUUUCUCCCCUUGUACAGUCUCGCAGUGAGAGGGCUGAGCCUGAUUGCUCUUUAGCCUUUAUAUGUCAUAAAUAAAAUUUGGGAUUGAGAAUGAGUUUCUGCCAACUGGAUGUGGACUCAUCCUAAACUCUUACGCAAACUGGCAGUCAGGCUCAGAAUCAUUGCAAGAGCAGCUUCCCAAUUUCUGCAGUACCUGAGGGCCUAAAUGGAACCUCUAACAACGAUCUCUUGAGUGACACCAAUAGAGAAUGACUUCUCCAUUUGCCAUUAUUGAUAUUUCUAAAAUUAAAUGGAUUUGAGAAUAGGAACUGAAGAAGCAGGCUCUGAUAUCAAGGUCUCUCACAACCUUCCUUACUGCUCUCUCCUUCCCUCUUUGCUUGUAUUCCUCAGCAUUUAUAUGUCUUUGCCAUUAGAUCCAUUGUUUUGUUGUGUCAGUGAUAUUAUAUUUACUGUUCCUAGGGCAAUACACUGACAAAUUCAAGAACAUACUUUCUCCUUUUUUAUACACACUAUGCAGAGCAGGCUUAUUAAAUGUUGAAACAAUACUUGCAGGAAUCUAAUGUACAUGCCUUCCUUUCCAGCGUGGGAGAUGAAUUCAUUGGAGACUGGAGCUGAGAGGAAGGACAGUAUUAAUAUUUUCUUUCCUUGAGAGAAAAAAACAGUUGUAGAAUUAUGGACAAGAAAUUUGUUAUGUCUGUGUUUAAGGACAUAAGAAUUAAUCAGCAGCUUUUCUUAAAAGAAGGAUAAUGUUAAAGUACCUGCCUUCACUUACUGUGUAAAUGCUCGAGGCAGAACACAGUCUAUAACUAGCUUGUAAAUGGUUUGUUUAUUCAAAAUGCAAUGAUGACUUCAGUGUUAUUAAGCCUGCUUGGGCAAUGCUCUUGAGCAACACGUAUUCUGGAUUAUAAACAUGCAGCAUCUGAUUCCAGCUUUUGGUUCUUCUCUCUGAUAUACUGUUGUAAUUCAGGAGAAACUGCACUCAAGGUAAUGAGCUUUUCCACUUCAAAACGGGAGCAGAGCUCAGCUCUGCCGUCCCCAGGUGGCAGUGUGCGCCCUGUAUAGACAGAGAAGCCCAGGUCUUGGCUCGGAGAGACCCAGGUUACCCUGUGUGGUGUUGGGGGGGGGGGGUGGGUGGAUUCACUCUGGCCAAGUUCCAUUGCUGCAUUCAAAAAAACCCACUUCUAGUAUUUUCUUCCAAAAGUGCCUCCAAAAGCCUGUGCAGCUUAACCGAGUGUUCCAGUAAGGUUCAGAAUGAAAAGGUCAUGAAUUUAUGUUAAAACACAUCUAGAUGGUGUCUGUGCUAGAAACAGACAUUGGAAUAAUUUCUAUUUGCAAAUUGCAAAGGCUGUUCUUCUAUAUCUGAAGAAGCAGCUCAGAGCAGAAUCAGCACCAAAUCCUCUGUAUUCCACUAUACUUACUAUUGAUCUGCAAUUUAUGGAAAAAUAGAAUAUUACUGAUAAUCAGGCACAUUUAUAAAUAUCAAAUGUAUUUAAUUUUAUUGAAGACAGUUUUUUUCAAUGUGUCCAAGUAGUACAAAUAGAAUUUAUUUUCUUUCAAGUAUGAAACUUAUGGAGGGAAAGUUACAAUGUUAGAAAUCUCUCAUUAAAAGAAAAUAAACCCCAACCUUCCAAAAAACUCAAGGUAAUUUUGCUUACUCUAUUUUCAAAUUAGAGACUUAUAUUUCACUGUAAUUCUACAAGUUAAAUACCACCAUGAGGAUGUCCUAAAUUUAUAUUGCUGUAAGACCUCUGUUUUGAAUUUCUCUGUAUUUUGAUGCAUCUCUAAUCUUUUAUGACAGUGAUAGUUCAGAAACUCAUUCACUCUGACUGAAAUGUUUUCCUCCGUGAAAAAGCAAAGAUGAUCACAAAUAUUCUUUCAAAGAUAACAUCAAGGAGUUUAUUAAUGGGAGUAUUAUUAUAGAUAGACCAGGAAAAAAAAAGAAAAAAGAGUGGUUAAAAAUUCUUACUCCAAUAAUGUCAUUGGAGUAAUUUUAUCAGGACUGAAAAAACUGCAGAUCUGUAGAUUAGUGAUAAUGAGUGUUAAUUUUCAGAGAAGUUUCAACAUGUGUUGUAGUUCUGUAUGUUCCAUUCUCUUUAAAAUAAGGAUGUCAAUGUCUGUGUCCAGGGACAGUUAAUGGUUCUCUGUGCAGCAGGCUUGGUUCUCUCAGGUGAUAUUCCAAAGCCAAGUACCAUGGAAAAUAUGGCCCAGCAUUAACUUCCUGCACACUCGACUCACCUUUUUAAAUAAAAUCAACGAGUGGUCUCAUGCAGACAUCAAACUGCUGAAACAGCCUUACACUGUUAUCUACAAUGUUGCCCAAAAGCAGAUGAGGGAGAAGAUGAGCUACAACAUCAUGGGGUCGGUGCUGUCUCUGUAUGUUAAUUGAAAGUGCUUUGCUCUGGCACUGAUGGGGAUGUUCUAACCUGUAUCACUGUACCAGUGGCUACAGAACCUGCCCUCUCAGCUAAGGUGUGAGGAAAUGGUACUAGCUAAUGAACAUAUCAGAAGGAACCUUAGCAAUUCAAAAUUAAAUUAUUCCAGUGAUAGCAGUCUAAAGAGUAAAUACUCUUAAAAGCAGGGCUCUGAAAGAGUGAAAGAGCAAGGAACCAUCCUGUGGGAUCAGGUAUGUUGGGAAAAAUGCAGAAUGCAUUUUUAUGGUAGCAGAGAAGAAGAAAGUUGCUAUAUAAACUGUGCCAGGAGAGCUUUGAAGUCCUCUUGCCACACUGAAGGGACCAAUAACAAACCUAGGAACAGCAAAAGGCUUUUAAAAUCUAAACUUUAUGUGAGAAAACUCCUAGUGUUUACAAGUGGUGUAUAAGUACUGUCUGGGGGGCUGGGAAUGCGAGUAUAGAGGAGGCUGGAGCACACUCAGCACCCCCAGGCACUAAAUGAGACAGACUGAGUGAGGAAUGAAAGGGCCAGUGCUGAGCCAAGAACAGCUGAGCCUUUUUGGGGACACUUUGACAAACACUGUUCACUGCCAUGUGAAAAUACGUAGACUGUAAAUGCCAGGGUGCAGCACUAUUCUGAGCAGAGGGCUAUGGUAAUGGGGAAGAGUGGUUUGGGUUUAUAGCUCAGUAGUUGGAAGGUUUACUAGAAAAAUAAGAUUAUGGCUCCUUUUCUAGUAAAUGUUCAGAAAGCUGGAAAAUAACUGCCAAGCUUGGGAAGAAAAAUGAGAGCCACUGUUGCUAUUGUAGGACACUGUUUGAUUUAAUUUUAAUACAGGAAUUAAUGCUAGUGGGGUCUGAGCAGGAGAUAGCUGGAAGAUGAAAGCAGAAUCUCAGUAUAACUUUAUGGAGUUUUCAAUCCUCACAACUGUAAAGAAAUGUAGAAAGCAUGAAACACAAAAGCUAAAUAUCUGAAAACAAGUAGUAGAAUUCAAAACCUGUUAUUUUAAAGUAUCAUAUAUCUAGGACAAUCUCUUGGUGUUAGAGGGUCUGUCUCAGGAAGUUUGAUUGCUUAGGGUUAUCUACUGCAUACUUAGCUGCUACUGCCACAGCUGAUGAAUGCAAAUCAGUCUUUUGCUGUCUAAUUACUUUAGAAACAUCUCUCAGACGUAUUUAUUUCUGGAAAAAUUCUGUAUUUGUUACAGAUAGGUAGGAUAUUUAGUGUUUGGGGAGAAUUUACAGGAAAAAAUCCUUGUUGUCUCUUCCUCCAUAAAAUCAAGCAGGUAAAUUUACCAAGAUAACAAAUCUACAGCUCUGGCAAAAUACAUGCCAGAUAUGUCUGUUUCAUCACUGAUCCACUAUUGUUUGUUUGUGUAGACUGCUAACUCUGCUCUUUACACCUUGGUAACAUAUUCUGCACAUUGUCAAAAAAGCCUCAAGAUGAGGCUCUCCCCACCAUCAUUGUUUUACAGGCUGUCUUGGAAGUGAGCUUCAAGUAUGUACUCUGAUGAGAAGCCUAGAGAAGGAUGACAUGGUUAUCUGAUUCAGUCUUUGGUAAUUAAAGGCAGGAGAAAAUACAGAAGAAAUUAAUAAAAUGUAUUUAGAAAUGAGUAGGGAAUCUAAUAAGUUGCAUGUUUACUGCAGCUGAGUGAAAAUCUUCAUGUCUGCGUGUAACAAGCCCAGAUUUCAUCUAUCAAAAACGUCCAUGCUGGAAAUGGCACAGUCUGUAGCUGAGGGGAGGAUUAUUUACUUUCCUGCCUCUUCACCUCCAAGUGCACAAGUAACACAUUUUAUAUAGAUAUGUGCAGACUGUCAAAUGUCUGAUUGCUAUGGGUGAAAGCUGACUAGCUAUAAACCAGCACCAGUUUGCAAGAUGAAUUCCUUAAUUAGCAUGGUGCUGGUCCUGGGCUAAUAGCUUCUAAGCGUGGGCUUAGUGCCAUGACACUGAAGCUCACCAGCAUCCAUCCAGUUCUGCCUGCAGAGGAGUAGAUAUAUCCCUCCCUGUACCUGCCCAUUUACUUUUGUUCUUAAAUAGUCUCCUACCAGGAAUGCUGAUAACAUUUUUCUGCCUUUGCCUGUUACCCUGUCACACAUUUGGCUUUGAUGCUGAACCCAGGCAGGUGACUCGACAUUUCCCUGCUGUGGAUGGCUGCUCUCUCAGCCAUCACAGCUGCAUCACAGCUUCACCUGGAUUAGUGAUGUUUUGGGUAGGAUGUGCAGGAAGGAGAUAUUCUCUGCAGCGGGAGCAGGGAAUUAUUUUAUUUGAGGUACUGGUCAUUUAUGGGUCAGAUUGUUUUUUGAAUUAAGGUGGUAUGUGAACUGCAAAUGGGAAUUCCAGAGAGUGUGUCAUUGGGGUGCAAACAAUUUGUGUGAAAAGACAUAUGCAUAUGAAUAUGGGGGAAAAAAGCUCUAGUAGACGGGAGGAGAGGCAGCUUUCUCCAUUUUGCCUCACAGCAUCAUCAGCAGAGACAGACUCCUCCCACCCACUGGGCUCAUCAGUGUAACUCAGUGGGAGGUGGCUGCAUCAAGCCAAGGUGCUCCUUUCCCAGUAAGUGGGCAGAUACAUACACUCCUGCUGGUGAUGACCCAGGGAGAGCAGCUACCCAGUAUACUUCAGGUUGUGUUGGUGCAUCUUGCAUCCAACUUAAAAAUUAAGGGACUUGACUGUCAAGCAGAUGGACUCCUUGCCUUCAUUGAAAAGAAUUCAGCAUUCUACAGGCUUUGAGCAAUAGAAAAUAACAAAGGACUGGGAAACUCCUGGCAGCAGUAGUUACCGGCUGGUCAGGAUACCCCAGCUCUCCCCUCACCAGGAUUAACUAAUGGGCCCUAUAAUGCACCACGGAUCCCGACUCUUCCAGUUCAGGUCUGCCAGUUGGAGAAGCUGCUGGAUCCACAGCUCCCCACCUGAGGAAAAAGUGGGACUAGUGGAGACAAUCAUUGGAUUCUCAGCAUUUUCACUGGCAGUUCUUGGACCAGCUGGAUGGUUCCUGUGCCACCUUCCAAGCUAUAAAAAGAAAUAGAAAACAUCCCUUCAGAAUUAAGAUCUGAAGGCUGCAAUAAACUGUAAUGCUCCAAACUUGGAUUCUCUUGAAAGCCCUGAUACAGCAUAUGGCUAACUAAAGUCCCAGUUCACACACUAUUAUCCAUCCUGUAUGCCAGGUCCCAGGUCACAAAGCUUUUGAAGAUUUUGUAGAACUGGACCCAGAAAUUAAAUGGUGUAGGAAUGCAAAAUAGUGGCAGGUCUACUCUGCCAUCCCCUGCUGCAUUGAACCAGUCUGUGUGUACCAGUCUGAAUCUGUCAUCAAGUACUGCGGGAAAUGGAAGAUCGGCAAGGAGGAUUGUAAACACGCUUGAGUGACCUGUAGUUUGGGUCUCAAAAAAAACAUAUAUCGUACUAAUUGUUGUUUGACCUUGUGUGUUAGACAAGUAAAACUUCUGUGUCUAGGCCUGUGAUAGCCUUAGAGGCACCCUAUCGAACAUGCUUGAGAUUCUUGCCUAGCUGUGGGCAAGGUUAAAGCACAGUGGUAAAUUAUGCUUGUGCAAAUCCCUGAAAUACAGGAGAAAAAAGCAGGUUGAGUGAUCCUAUAGCAUGGAUCAAGCUUCACAGUGCCUGUGUUCUCGCUUGUGUGUCUCUUCUGACUGCUGCUUCAGUGAUCCCUAGUUGGCGAGGUAACAAAAGUGAAUUUACUCUUUGCAUUUAAUCUGUGGUUUUGUGGUUGUUCCUGUGUCCUGCCUGUGUCAGCUCUUACUGGUACUGUCAAAGCUUUAAACUAAAUAAAUGGGAGAAAAUACAGAAAAAAAUAUUUUUAUAGUCAUCUCAGACAAAAAUUCGGAGAGUUUAAGAUUUUCUCCAAAGUUUCUCUUUAAUCUUUACACAUGUUCUUUUGGUGUGUUCCCCCACCCCAUCUACUCUUCCACAAGAAUAAAUGUUUUUCUGCAGGUCAUGAUUGUUAGAUACUUCACUUUAUUUUCAAUCUCUAGAUUAAAAUUUAUGACAUUUGAGAUAUUUUCCCAUGAUUGCUAUUUAUAAUAAAUGCUAUGAUAAAUA